AUGGAAAUGGAGGCUCCCGUCUUGGCAGCUCUUGCGGCAGUAAUCAUCGCUUUCAUCUUGUUGGUAUUGCCACACCUCAGAAAGCAGAGCUCAUCUCAAGACGAUCGGCGCCGUCAGCUGCCUCCGGGCUCCUUCGGCCUUCCCGUCGUCGGCCAGACGGUCGGCCUACUGCGCGCCCUCCGCGCCAACACCGGCGAGGCAUGGCUCCGGCGCUGGGCCUCCGAGUACGGCCCCAUCUCAAAGCUCUCCCUCUUCGGCCUCCACACGGCCUUCCUCGUCGGCCCCGCCGCCAACAAGUUCCUCUUCGCCAGCGCCGCGCUCACCGCCAAGAGCUCCACCUCCUUCAACAGUAUGGUCGGCAGGCGCAACAUCCGGGAGCUGGUCGGCGACGACCACCGCCGCGUGAGGGCCAUGAUGGUCCAGUUCCUCAAGCUGGACAUCGUGAGGAGCUACGUCGCCAGCAUGGACGACGAGGUCCGGCACCACCUCCGCGCCCACUGGGACGGCCGCACGACCGUCGCGGUGAUGCCGUCGAUGAAGUCGCUCACCUUCGACAUCAUGUGCACCGUCAUCUUCGGGCUCGGGAGAGCUGACCACGCCGCCGUGAGGCGGGAGCUCUCCGCGGAGUUCCAGCAGCUGGUGAGGGGCAUCUGGGCGAUCCCGGUGAACCUGCCUUUCACCUCCUUCGGCAAGUGCCUCGCCGCGAGCCGGCGAGGCCGGCGAACCGUCGCGGCAAUCAUCAAGGAGAAGCGCGCCAAGCUGGAGAGCGGGCAUAGUUCGCCGUCCGACGACCUCAUGACCCACAUGCUCGCGGAGGGGCUGGCCGACGAGGAGAUCAUCGACAACGUCAUGUUCAUGAUGGUAGCGGCGCACGACACCACCGCCAGCCUCCUCACCUUCCUCCUCCGGCACCUCGAUGGCAACCGGGACGCCUACGGCAGGGUCGUGGCAGAGCAACAAGAGGUCGCCAGGAGCAAGGCUCCGGGGGAAGCUCUGUCGUGGGACGACCUCGGCAAGAUGAAGUACACAUGGUCGGCGGCGAUGGAGACCCUGCGCCUGGUACCUCCCGUGUUCUCCAUGCUCAAGAGGGCGGUGGCAGACGUGGAGUUUGACGGCCACCUCAUCCCCAAGGGAUGGCAGGUGUUGGGGGCGAUGAACCUGACGCAGCAGGACCCGGCCAUCUUCCCGGAGCCAAGCAGGUUCGAGCCGGCAAGGUUCGAGAGCCCGAUACCACCCUACAGCUUCGUGGCGUUCGGCGGCGGCGCGCGCAUGUGCCCUGGCAACGAGUUCACUAGGGUGGAGACGCUGGUGGCCAUGCACUACAUCGUCACCGGGUUCAGGUGGAAGCUCGCCGACGGCUGCGACGGCAGCUUCUCCAGGUACCCGAUGCCGUCCCCGGCUCAGGGGCUCCUCAUCGACAUCGAGCCAAUAGACACAACCACCACAGGUGCAACAGGCAUCAGCAAAUGA
rnacentral:rRNA from 1 species